rnacentral:rRNA from 1 species
AAUAUUGCACAAUGGGCGCAAGCCUGAUGCAGCCAUGCCGCGUGUGUGAAGAAGGCCUUCGGGUUGUAAAGCACUUUCAGUCGUGAGGAAGGUAGUGUAGUUAAUAGCUGCAUUAUUUGACGUUAGCGACAGAAGAAGCACCGGCUAACUCCGUGCCAGCAGCGCGCGGUAA